rnacentral:rRNA from 1 species
UUAAGCAUAUCAAUAAGCGGAGGAAAAGAAACCAACAGGGAUUGCCUCAGUAACGGCGAGUGAAGCGGCAACAGCUCAAAUUUGAAAUCUGGUCCUUUCAGGCCCCGAGUUGUAAUUUGUAGAGGAUGUUUCGGGCGCGGCGCGGGUCUAAGUCCUUUGGAACAGGGCGUCGGAGAGGGUGAGAAUCCCGUAUGCGACCCGUGGCCAACCCCAUCUGAAAACCCCUUCGACGAGUCGAGUUGUUUGGGAAUGCAGCUCAAAAUGGGUGGUAAAUUUCAUCUAAAGCUAAAUACCGGCCAGAGACCGAUAGCGCACAAGUAGAGUGAUCGAAAGAUGAAAAGCACUUUGGAAAGAGAGUCAAACAGUACGUGAAAUUGUUGAAAGGGAAGCGCUUGCGACCAGACCUGCCCGCGGGCGAUCAACCGCCGUUCUCGGGGGUGCACUCGUCCGCGAUCAGGCCAGCAUCGGUUCGGGCGGUCGGAUAAAGGCCUUGGGAAUGUAGCUUCCUCCGGGGAGUCUUAUAGCCCUCGGUGCAAUGCGGCCAGCCUGGACCGAGGACCGCGCUUCGGCUAGGAUGCUGGCGUAAUGGUCGUAAGCGACCCGUCUUGAAACACGGACCAAGGAGUCUAACAUCUAUGCAAGUGUUUGGGUGUGAAACCCAUGCGCGGAAUGAAAGUGAACGGAGGUGAGAACCCUCAAGGGCGCAUCAUCGACCGAUCCAGAUGUCUUCGGAUGGAUUUGAGUACGAGCAUAGCUGUUGGGACCCGAAAGAUGGUGAACUAUGCCUGAAUAGGGUGAAGCCAGAGGAAACUCUGGUGGAGGCUCGCAGCGGUUCUGACGUGCAAAUCGAUCGUCAAAUUUGGGUAUAGGGGCGAAAGACUAAUCGAACCAUCUAGUAGCUGGUUCCUGC